UGCGCAGGCGGGCUUGUAAGUCAGUGGUGAAAUACUGCCGCUUAACGGUAGAACUGCCAUUGAUACUGCGAGUCUUGAAUAUGGUUGAGGUAGGCGGAAUGUGUUGUGUAGCGGUGAAAUGCAUAGAUAUGACACAGAACGCCGAUUGCGAAGGCAGCUUACUAAGCCAUUAUUGACGCUGAGGCACGAAAGCGUGCGGAGCGAACAGGAUUAGAUACCCUGGUAGUCC
rnacentral:rRNA from 1 species